ensembl:lincRNA
GCCAGUUCCAGCGACUUGUGGGAGAAGGGGCCUGGACACUGGGGCAGAGACCAGCUCCCCGCCCUCUUCAGCCUGGAUCCUCGACCUGAGGGGCCUGGGUGCUAGCAAUGGCUGGAGUCAUUUUAAGCUGUGGGCUGCAGGGCAGCUCAGUGCACCACAGCAGGGAGAUCCUGGCCACCAGCAGGGCUGGAGUGCUGCCACCACUCAUCUUCUGGAAACCUCAGCCCGCCCCCCAGGAAGAGGCUGCCUGUGUCCGGGUGUCUUGUAGGGGCGGUUUGUGCAGCGCUGCUUGGAGCUGGCAGGAAAGUCGGUCUAUUCCUGGUUUGCUGAAGGCUUGGGCCACGACGACGAGUAGAUAUGUUUUCUUCUGCAUCCCCGAGGUCAGCACAGCAACUUACCUGAGAAUGCAGAAUGGCAAAUGGUUCCAGCAAUGGGCCAGGCCAGGACGGUGGCUCGAGGGCCUGGGGCAGAAGUUCCAGCAAUGUGGGGGAGAGGGCAGUACAGGAUGGCGCCCCCUUGUGGAGGUACGGCCCAUUCUCGUGUUUCUGGAACAUUUAAACAUUUCUAAAACGUUUGCUGGAAAGAGAAGGUGGAGGCAGGGCGAACUGGUGAUCUGCGGUCCCUCUCCCGUCAGGAAGGCAACUUCAAGGGCAGAGUGGUGGCUGGCGGCUGGACCGGAAGCAGGGAGCUGGCCUGGGUGGUACUGAAGGGCCCUGACCCAGAAACUCGCUCCUCGUAUGAAACCCAUCAGGGGGCCUGGCUGGGGCACAGCAGGUCUAUUGUGGCGGCCUCUUCACUCCUGCCUUGGAGGAGUGACAUGGGAGGGACCCGGGCAGCCUCAGAGCAAGACUGUGUGUUCUCACCUGCAGUGGGUGCCCUGGUCCCCGCCUGGCCCAGAGAGCAACAGCCGGGCAGCGGCUCAGGAGAGGGCGGAGGUUGUGCCAAGCUGGUAAGUGACCCCGCCUGAGGAUGACGGGGAGACGAAUGACGACAGUGGACGGUGCUGACCCCGGCCUGCGUCCUCAGCCCUGACUCCUCAAUCGAUGCAUGUCCUCACCCCUCCUCCCUUCAUUUAUUAAUCCAUCCUCACAUCCAACACACGUGCUUAGCCAACCAACCUCCCGGCAGGGGCUCUUGUGUGAACUUGCAUCCUCUGGGGACUUUGGUGGCGAAGAACUGAGUGAGCUCCCAGUGCAGCGGGAGCUGAGAAAACACCUGGACACUCGCCCCGCUCUCCCUGUGUCUUGGGGCCACAGCUGACAAGGGAAAAUGGAGGUGCAGCGGGCGCAGGGUCCUCCACAGAGCCAGUGGAGGUUUCCUCAGAGGGGGACAGCUGUCUCCCCCUGCGGUGGGCCUGGUGAAAGGCCGGUGGGGAGGAAGCCCGCCUGGGACUGCGCAGAUCCGUCCGGCUGGUGGAAACUCGGCUCUUGUUCUUGGCUGUUCCUCCCCCUUGACUCCUUGGUGCAGCCUGGACUCACACCCCGCAGAUGCUCCCCAAAGCACCCACCUUUACAGGAAUCCAUUUUACACCAGCAGAUGGUUACCAUGGAGAUGUCCUCGGGACAGGGUAGAGGGUAGAGAGGGCAGAGAGGGAGGGGAGUGUCCCCUCGAGAGACCUGUGCCUGCCUGCUGAAACUACUCUCUGGCAGGCCAGGGACAGCCUAGAAGGUCAUGACAUGGAUGGGGGAGGGGGACCAUGCCAGGGUCAGCCCCAUUACUCACCCCCCUGGGCAUAGCAGUCCCUGCUGGGGCCACCCAGACCCUCUCCCCCAAAGCAGUCUCCAGUGCUUGUGAGUUGGGGCUUCUCCUUUUAGGGACCCACAGUUAACCCAAGUCAGCUUCCUGAUUAAUGGUUCCUGAAACAGUGCUUUCCAGCUGACAGGUGGAAGGGAGGGGCUGGGCAAAUUAAUGAGUUAGACCGAUGAAUCUCACUGCAUUAGCAAAUCUUCAGGGAGAGCCAGGCUGCAGGACAGACGUGAGCCAGUGCAUGGAGCCACGGGGCUGUGUGGGCCGAGGGAGGAGCUGACCCCAGCCUGGCCCCUGUGUCCCAGGCCUCACUGGGUGCCGGGUGAACUCUGUUGGGUGCACCAUUACAGCCUGGUAAGGCUGGGCACAACAGCCGUCUGCUCUCUAGAGACAGCCAGGAGCAAACAGAAGCAGUGGAGCGCCUCCUAGAAGCCCUCAGCUCUUCUGUGCACCAGCUCAGGGCAAGUCCCAGGUUUGCCCCAGGCAGGGCCGAGCCAGGCCAGGACCUUCGGGUGACCUCAGGGUGUGGCUCCUGAACUAGCCGCUUGGACAUGGUCCAAAAAAUCACAGACUGAGGUCCAGUGUCCCUGCCAGUGACUUCAGAUUUCCCAGGUAACUUCCUGUGCCCAGCCACGAGAGGACGCCCAUGGCCCAGGGAUGUGUGCCUCUUGGGCCUCUCCUCCAAGGGUUCGCCAAGCUCACCAGCUCACCAUGCACCCUCCUCCUCGGACUCCAGGGCAACGUUCGGAGGACCUGGCUGCGAGAAGUGUAAAGGAUGAAACUCUAAAUCCAAGUGCAGAGGCAGGGAAGCAUCCUCACACUAAGCCUGGGAGGCCCUGUUUCUGCCUUACCUGCUCCAACUGCCAAGUCAGAGCAGUGCCAGCCACCUUCACAGGAUGCUGGGAUGGUUGCAGGGCCCCAGGAGCACAGCUGGCCGCUUAACAAAUGUGGCAGGGUCUGGGGGUGCAUGACUGAUCCCAGCACUCUGGGAGGCUGAGGCAGGGGGAUCAAAAGUUUGAGCCCGUCCAAUUUAGUGAGACUCUGUCUCAAAAACACAGUAAAACAAGGGCUGGGAAUGUAGCUCAAUGGGAAGGUCCUGGGUUUGACCCCUGUGUCCAGCCGCACCCACACAAUCACACGUAUCUGUGCACAAACCAUGUGGGGCUGGGUCUGCAAAUUGCUGAGCACGCUCUGCUGAGUCACGGGGCUUGUGGAGACCAGGUGGCUAGACGUUCACUUGCUGUUUUCUCCCUGCAGGGGUCACCGGCCCAGCCACCCUCCUCAUCUCUCCAAGCAGAGGCUCCAGGGAGGUGCCAGGCCCAGACCCCUGGGCCUCACAGCCCUGCUUCCCAGCUGCAGGCAGCUUUUGGGUCCAGGUAUGCCGUUCCACUUGGAGAUUCCCUGAUGCCCAGGGCAGAAUCGGCUCUGGCUCCAGAGGAGGCCUGGUGAGGAAUCUGGGUAAGUGGAGUUCAGGGGCAAAGACCUCCCCAGGCUCCAGCAAGGACACAGGCGGACAGGCCCUGGGCACCUUCAGGACAUGAUCUCCCUGGUGCCAGGUGUACUGGGUUGGAGUCCCAGUAUUGUUGUAAGAUCUUGGACAAUCUGCUUAACCGGUCUCACAGUUUCCUCUUUGUGCAGCAGGGAGAGGAAAGAUCCCACCAUGUAGGGGCCUGGGAGUGGAGCAGGGGUCACUGUUGAACUGGCCUUGCUCAGGGGCUGAGCGUUUAGCAAGUUCUGACUAUGGCUGCCUGGUUGGGUCUGGAGGAGUCUUCCACCUCAGAGCAGACCUGGCCUUGGGGUGGGGCGGCUGCAGCCCCAUCUUCUUGCCCCCACCUCCGGUUCCCAUCCUGUGGCUCAGUAGCUGCUGCAGGGCCUCUGUGUCCGGGCAGCAUCAAUUGGGGGGUGCCAGGACCACAGGGGCUGAGGUUCCCAGGCCUCUCCCUUCCAGGAGGUUCAGCCACACAGAGCACCACCCUCUGCACCUGCUGCUCUCCACCCCACCUGACGGGGCCUGAGCAGAAGCUGCAGUGCCCUGGGCCUCCCACAGAGGCAAAGCCCUGGGACCAGGGAACCCC